rnacentral:rRNA from 1 species
AGAGUUUGAUCCUGGCUCAGAUUGAACGCUGGCGGCAUGCCUUACACAUGCAAGUCGAACGGCAGCACGGGUGCUUGCACCUGGUGGCGAGUGGCGAACGGGUGAGUAAUGUAUCGGAACGUACCAUUCAGUGGGGGAUAACUAUCCGAAAGGAUAGCUAAUACCGCAUAUUCUGUGAGCAGGAAAGCAGGGGAUCGCAAGACCUUGCGCUGAUUGAGCGGCCGAUAUCAGAUUAGCUAGUUGGUGGGGUAAAAGCCUACCAAGGCGACGAUCUGUAGCGGGUCUGAGAGGAUGAUCCGCCACACUGGAACUGAGACACGGUCCAGACUCCUACGGGAGGCAGCAGUGGGGAAUUUUGGACAAUGGGCGAAAGCCUGAUCCAGCCAUGCCGCGUGAGUGAAGAAGGCCUUCGGGUUGUAAAGCUCUUUCGGCCGGGAAGAAAUCGCAUAGGUUAAUACCCUGUGUGGAUGACGGUACCGGAAUAAGAAGCACCGGCUAACUACGUGCCAGCAGCCGCGGUAAUACGUAGGGUGCGAGCGUUAAUCGGAAUUACUGGGCGUAAAGCGUGCGCAGGCGGGUUUUUUAAGACAGGCGUGAAAUCCCCGGGCUUAACCUGGGAACUGCGCUUGUGACUGGAAGGCUAGAGUACNGCAGAGGGGGGUGGAAUUCCACGUGUAGCAGUGAAAUGCGUANAGAUG